CUCCUGAACAGGAAACUGAAAUCAUGAACAUGGUCCUAGAAAAUAACGCCAUAACAUUACGGCAAAUACAAAGAAAAAUAAUAGAAAACAAUGAGAUAUUUCAAAAUAUUGAUAGGGUAAGCUUAUCAACACUGGACCGUGUCUUGCACAGAAAUAAUCUCAGGAUGAAGCAGGUCUACAGGGUGCCAUUUGAACGCAAUUCAGAAAGAGUCAAAGAAUUGCGAUAUAACUAUGUGCAAAGAGUCCUUGAGCUAGAGGUGGCUGCAGUGGAGCACCAGUUCAUCUUCAUUGAUGAGGUUGGAUUCAACCUCACAAAAA